ACGUAGGGGGCGAGCGUUGUCCGGAUUUAUUGGGCGUAAAGAGCUCGUAGGCGGCUCAGAAAGUCGGGUGUGAAACCUCCAGGCUCAACCUGGAGACGCCACCUGAUACUGCUGUGGCUAGAGUCCGGUAGGGGAACACGGAAUACCCGGUGUAGCGGUGAAAUGCUUAGAUAUCGGGUGGAACACCAGUGGCGAAGGCGGUGUUCUGGGCCGGAACUGACGCUGAGGAGCGAAAGCGUGGGUAGCAAACAGGA
rnacentral:rRNA from 1 species